GAUGAACGCUGGCGGCGUGCCUAAUACAUGCAAGUCGAACGCUUCACAUAUGUGAAGAGUGGCGAACGGGUGAGUAAUACAUAAGUAACCUGGCCUUUACAGGGGGAUAACUAUUGGAAACGAUAGCUAAGACCGCAUAGGUGUCAUAACCGCAUGGAGAUGAUAUGAAAUAUGCUACGGCAUAGGUAGAGGAUGGACUUAUGGCGCAUUAGCUAGUUGGAGGGGUAACGGCCCACCAAGGCGACGAUGCGUAGCCGACCUGAGAGGGUGACCGGCCACACUGGGACUGAGACACGGCCCAGACUCCUACGGGAGGCAGCAGUAGGGAAUUUUCGGCAAUGGGGGAAACCCUGACCGAGCAACGCCGCGUGAAGGAAGAAGUAAUUCGUUAUGUAAACUUCUGUCAUAGAGGAAGAACGGUGCGUGUAGGGAAUGACAUGCA
rnacentral:rRNA from 1 species